UACGAAGGGGGCUAGCGUUGCUCGGAAUCACUGGGCGUAAAGGGUGCGUAGGCGGGUCUUUAAGUCAGGGGUGAAAUCCUGGAGCUCAACUCCGGAACUGCCUUUGAUACUGAGGAUCUUGAGUCCGGGAGAGGUGAGUGGAACUGCGAGUGUAGAGGUGAAAUUCGUAGAUAUUCGCAAGAACACCAGUGGCGAAGGCGGCUCACUGGCCCGGUACUGACGCUGAGGCACGAAAGCGUGGGGAGCAAACAGG
rnacentral:rRNA from 1 species